AAAUUGAAGAGUUUGAUCAUGGCUCAGAUUGAACGCUGGCGGCAGGCCUAACACAUGCAAGUCGAGCGGUAGCACAGAGAGCUUGCUCUCGGGUGACGAGCGGCGGACGGGUGAGUAAUGUCUGGGAAACUGCCUGAUGGAGGGGGAUAACUACUGGAAACGGUAGCUAAUACCGCAUAAUGUCGCAAGACCAAAGUGGGGGACCUUCGGGCCUCAUGCCAUCAGAUGUGCCCAGAUGGGAUUAGCUAGUAGGUGGGGUAACGGCUCACCUAGGCGACGAUCCCUAGCUGGUCUGAGAGGAUGACCAGCCACACUGGAACUGAGACACGGUCCAGACUCCUACGGGAGGCAGCAGUGGGGAAUAUUGCACAAUGGGCGCAAGCCUGAUGCAGCCAUGCCGCGUGUGUGAAGAAGGCCUUCGGGUUGUAAAGCACUUUCAGCGGGGAGGAAGGCGUAAGGUUAAUAACCUUGGCGAUUGACGUUACCCGCAGAAGAAGCACCGGCUAACUCCGUGCCAGCAGCCGCGGUAAUACGGAGGGUGCAAGCGUUAAUCGGAAUUACUGGGCGUAAAGCGCACGCAGGCGGUCUGUCAAGUCGGAUGUGAAAUCCCCGGGCUCAACCUGGGAACUGCAUUCGAAACUGGCAGGCUAGAGUCUUGUAGAGGGGGGUAGAAUUCCAGGUGUAGCGGUGAAAUGCGUAGAGAUCUGGAGGAAUACCGGUGGCGAAGGCGGCCCCCUGGACAAAGACUGACGCUCAGGUGCGAAAGCGUGGGGAGCAAACAGGAUUAGAUACCCUGGUAGUCCACGCCGUAAACGAUGUCGAUUUGGAGGUUGUGCCCUUGAGGCGUGGCUUCCGGAGCUAACGCGUUAAAUCGACCGCCUGGGGAGUACGGCCGCAAGGUUAAAACUCAAAUGAAUUGACGGGGGCCCGCACAAGCGGUGGAGCAUGUGGUUUAAUUCGAUGCAACGCGAAGAACCUUACCUGGUCUUGACAUCCACAGAACUUUCCAGAGAUGGAUUGGUGCCUUCGGGAACUGUGAGACAGGUGCUGCAUGGCUGUCGUCAGCUCGUGUUGUGAAAUGUUGGGUUAAGUCCCGCAACGAGCGCAACCCUUAUCCUUUGUUGCCAGCGGCGGCCGGGAACUCAAAGGAGACUGCCAGUGAUAAACUGGAGGAAGGUGGGGAUGACGUCAAGUCAUCAUGGCCCUUACGACCAGGGCUACACACGUGCUACAAUGGCAUAUACAAAGAGAAGCGACCUCGCGAGAGCAAGCGGACCUCAUAAAGUAUGUCGUAGUCCGGAUUGGAGUCUGCAACUCGACUCCAUGAAGUCGGAAUCGCUAGUAAUCGUAGAUCAGAAUGCUACGGUGAAUACGUUCCCGGGCCUUGUACACACCGCCCGUCACACCAUGGGAGUGGGUUGCAAAAGAAGUAGGUAGCUUAACCUUCGGGAGGGCGCUUACCACUUUGUGAUUCAUGACUGGGGUGAAGUCGUAACAAGGUAACCGUAGGGGAACCUGCGGUUGGAUCACCUCCUUA
rnacentral:rRNA from 1 species